rnacentral:rRNA from 1 species
CAAUAUGAACCCGGUCUAUAACUAAUUCGAUUAUUUUGCGACCUACUAUUAAAUCCUGUGUCUAUUAAUUUUAUUUACUGCAUUUCAGCUACCCUAGUUUAAGCUAUGUGUCAUUUGGGGAAAAUUUAAAUGAACACUUAUUUUUUAACAACCACACACAAACUUUAAAAUAGUAAACAAAAUUGAGGAGUGUCAAAUUAUGAGCCAAAAUUCUCUAAUCAGGAUAAACCGCUGCCAUGUAGUUUAGGUUUUUUUAUAAUACCUAAAAUUUGUACAUACCUGGCUUCUACCCCAGUUUUGUCAGAGGGUUUGGAGGUUAUAACUUUUUUUCUAAAAGCCGCAAAACUGGAGAAGAAAAAGAAUUUAAAGUGUUACUAAAUAAAAUUUUAUUUUAAAAGUA